CCUACGGGGGGCAGCAGUGAGGAAUAUUGGUCAAUGGACGAGAGUCUGAACCAGCCAAGUAGCGUGAAGGAUGACUGCUCUAUGGGUUGUAAACUUCUUUUAUAUGGGAAUAAAAUGUUCCACGUGUGGGAUUUUGUAUGUACCAUAUGAAUAAGGAUCGGCUAACUCCGUGCCAGCAGCCGCGGUAAUACGGAGGAUCCGAGCGUUAUCCGGAUUUAUUGGGUUUAAGGGGAGCGUAGGUGGAUUGUUAAGUCAGUUGUGAAAGUUUGCGGCUCAACCGUAAAAUUGCAGUUGAAACUGGCAGUCUUGAGUACAGUAGAGGUGGGCGGAAUUCGUGGUGUAGCGGUGAAAUGCUUAGAUAUCACGAAGAACUCCGAUUGCGAAGGCAGUUCACUGGACUGCAACUGACACUGAGGCUCGAAAGUGUGGGUAUCAAACAGGAUUAGAUACCCGUGUAGUC
rnacentral:rRNA from 1 species